CAGUGGGAAAGACAUCCCUCCCUAAAGACAAUCUCCUUCCUUUGCCAUUGGGCUCAGCCUUUUUCAGCUGUUCUGCAUGAACUGCAGAUGGCUGCACCUGGGUCAAGUUGUUAGCAGGCAGAGAGGAGGUUAGAAAAGCUCUUUGCUGCAUGCAGCUUGGUGAGUCAGAGGAAGGGAGGCCUUUUGGAAAGAGCAGUGGGGCUAGCUGAGAACUAAGCAGCCUGUGCUACUGACAGUAGGAUCUGCAUGAUAAUGCUGGAGUUCCACUGAGUAAGUGGAGUACGCAACCUAGGAUAUGGCAGUCCUAAGCCUGAGGGGAACAAAGGAAGACUAAAUUCAAGACGAGUCUUCCCCUUUGUUACUGUUUGCUGGUGCCUUGAUCCUGCCUUCCAUUUCCUUCGGGGAGAAGACAAGUCCGAGGUUCCUGUCCCACCCACUUGGCAGAUGUAGCCUAUGAGUGCUUCACACUGGGACAGUUGUGGAGGCAGUGUCUUGUAUCCUCACAAGGUCUGCUAGCCAGUGCUUGUGGGAAGGUUCAAAAGCACUCCUAGGAGCUAACAGGGCCAAGACAGGAGCUGUGAGGUGGAUAGGAAAGUGCCCAGCAGGCUGGGAGCACCUAGGCCUCAAGGCCUGACUGGUGGCAGCAGGGCUGCGUGCUCCCAGCAGGCUUCUCCUGGGGAAAGGAGGUUCAGUGGGGAGGACAGAAAGAAAUCAUCUCUUGGCAGAGUUAAGGAGGCAAUCAGAGAUUAGGAGUGGCUAAUGGCUGGCUCAUUAGCAGGUGUCUAUUUUCCUGUGGUGCGUUUGCCCUCCUGUAGGUACAGAGGUGUUGACCAACACCAGGUUUACAACAGCGGGAGCACAGCCUGACAUCAGGAGCUGAUAGGAAAGCCAUGGAUUGCACAGAGCACGCCUGGGCAUUCUGCUGGCAGUGGGAGGAGUCAUGGUGCUCCCAGCCCCCUGGGACCUCCUGCCGGUGGGGGGUAAUGUUGGUCAGCUUGCUCAGCUGAGCACCACACCUGCUGAGGGACUGCCUUCCUCUUAAGGGGCCCUGCAUGUCUUCAGGCAGGCUGAAGGUCUCCUGGUUUGAUUUGAGGAUUGUUCAGGCAGCAUCUCUCCCUGAAAGGCCAGAGACUAAGGCCUGCAGCAACCCCUGCUUGGAGCUACCCGCGUAUUAGGCAGUGAUAUUGGAUUAUUGCAGUGAGCUCCUGCCUUAGGAUUGGCUUCAUCUCGAGGACAAGGGAAGACGACUUGAAGAUGAGACUGCUUGGAGGAAAUGAGAUCUUCUGUUCCUACAAGCAUACAGAAACUGAGUGCAGCAAGACGGAAGACCCAAGACCUGGACACUCAGUGUAGAUUAAAAGCAGUUAAAUGCUUUUAUAAAUCUUCAACUGCUUCCUUUGUAUAGCGCCCAUGGAUUCAAAGCUGAUGUGUGGACUUGUCCAGGCCAGAAAGAAUCCUUCACGGCUGUUUUGCAGAAAUGGAGAUGUUUAAAAGCAGUGAGUUGGAAAGGCAGUAUUUCCUGUGCUUCUUGGGUGAAAUGUGCCAUAUAAACAAGAUAGAAAACUGAGAUUCUGUGUAGGGGUAGGUUUCCCAAAUGAUAAGCAUUCACCCAGCAUGUCCCUCACAUUUGCUGUGCUGUGCAAGGGCACUGUGCUCUGAGUGAUGCUAAUUAUGCCCACCGGUGCCCAGCUCAGCUCCCACAGACAAUGCUGCAGCUGCUGCAGUCCACAGUAGUGCUCACUGAUGCUUCUAAAACAGGAACCACUCUGGUCCAGGAACAGCUGGGCAUGGCCCCAGAUCUUGUGCUGAAGGUAGACCCUCGUGUGCAGUGCCUCAGGACAUGGAAUAUGCUGCACCUAUUAUUGGCGGUGACUUGGAGGGAUGGCAGCUUACUGGAUAUCCCCCAUGUGAGACUUAGAGGGUGAAGGGUAGGCUAUUUCGUGUAGUGCUGGCUGAGGGACAGCUGCAGCUGUCCGUGCCUGCCAUAUUAUCUAAGGAAAGGUCCUUCAAAAAGGCAACACGAAACAAUGAUCCUUGAUUUCUCCUUUUAUAGGCCAAAGCUUAUAGCCUGAGUGUAAAUUCAAAA